AGAAGAGGAAAGUCGUAACAUGGUAAGCCUACCGGAAGGUGGUCUUGGAACAGAAUAUAGCUUAACUAAAGCAUUUUGCUUACACCAAAAAAAUAUCCUACAGAUUAUUCUGAUACUGUAAACUUAGCCUAUCUUCACAUCUGUAUAUUUAAUAAUUAAAUCAUUUAUAUAUGUUAGUAUGAGCGACAGAAAACUUAUUAGCGCAAUAAAUAAAGUACUGUAAAGGAAAAAUGAAAUAGAAUUUAAAUAACCACAAAAGAACAAUAAAGUAAAGAUUAAUACUUUUACCUUUUGCAUAAUGGUCUAGCAAGUCUAACCCAACAGAAAUAUUUAAGCCGGAAACCCCGAAACCAAACGAGCUACCUUAAAGCAACACCCUAAAUUUACUCUCUGUAGCAAAAGAGAGUAAAAGACUUUAAGGUAGAGGCGAAAAACCAAACGAGUAUGGUGAUAGCUGGUUACUUAGAAAUGAAUUAAGUUCAACUAAAAGCAAAAACACCAAUAAGGAUGCAUAUAACGCUUUUAAUAUAAUAAAUUAGGGUACAGCCUAAUUUAUAUAGGAAACAGCCUAAAUAUAUGAAUAAAGAUAUUAAACUAUAAUAAAGUAGGCCUAAAAGCAGCCAUCAAAAAAGCGUCACAGCUUAUUUAAUUUAUAUUUAAAAAUAUUAACAAUAUAUCUAAAUUCAAUAAAACAACUAAGUUAAUCUAUUAAUAGAAAAACUACUACUAGAAUGAGUAAUAAGGAAUACCUCUAAAUACAUGUGUAUAUCAAAACGAACUCCUCACUGAUAAUUAACGAAAAUGUUUAAUUCAACUAGAAAUUAAACCUCACACACCGUUUAUCCAACACAGGUGUAUAAAAGAAAGACUUAAAGCUUAAGAAGGAACUCGGCAAACCAAAGCUCCGCCUGUUUACCAAAAACAUCGCCUUCCGAUCAAUAAAUAUGAAAGGUCCUGCCUGCCCAGUGAUAUUUUUCAACGGCCGCGGUAUUAUGACCGUGCAAAGGUAGCAUAAUCACUUGUCUUUUAAAUUAAGACCAGUAUGAAUGGCAAGACGAGAGCAUAACUGUCUCCUUAAGUUAGUCAAUGAAAUUAAUAUUCCCGUGCAGAAGCGGAGAUAAAAAUAUAAGACGAGAAGACCCUGUGGAGCUUAUAAAAAAAGCUAUAUAGACAUCUACAAUAGCCUAUAAUUUAGGUUGGGGCGACCAUGAGGUAAAAUAAAACCCUCAAGACAACAACUAGAAGGACACUUCAAACAAAAAGUAACAUUUAUAAUGACCCAUUAAUGAGCAACGAACCAAGUUACCCCAGGGAUAACAGCGCAAUCCAUCUCCAGAGCCCAUAUCGACAAAUGGGUUUACGACCUCGAUGUUGGAUCAGGACCCCCUAAUGGUGCAACAACUAUUAAAGGUUCGUUUGUCAACGAUAAA
rnacentral:rRNA from 1 species